rnacentral:rRNA from 1 species
CCUACGGGAGGCAGCAGUGAGGAAUAUUGGUCAAUGGCCGGAAGGCUGAACCAGCCAAGCCGCGUGAAGGACGAAGGUGCCACGCAUUGUAAACUUCUUUUGUCAAGGGACAAAAUCAGGCUCGAGAGCCUGACAGAGGAUACUUGAAGAAAAAGCGUCGGCUAUUUCGGUGCCAGCAGCCGCGUUAUUACGUGGGAUGCGAGGGUUAUCCGAAUUUAUUGGGUUAAAGGGGUGCGUAGGCGGGCUGUUAAGUAAGCGGUAAAAGCCCGGGGCUCAACCCCGGCGAGCCGUUGAAACUGGCUGUCUUGAGAGGACGAAGGGUAUGCGGAAUGCGCGGUGUAGCGGUGAAAUGCUUAGAUAUUGCGCAGAACUCCGAUUGCGAAGGCAGGAGACCGGCGGCGAACUGACGCUGAGGCACGAAAGCGUGGGUAUCGAACAGGAUUAGAUACCCGAGUAGUC